UGUCCCCCAACCUUUUUUUAUUUAUAGGGUUUGGCUCUUUCCCUUUGCUGCAGGGAAUUCCCCUGGUUGCCAAUUAGCAGCUGUUCCAUUUGUGCAAGGAAAAAUGUAGGAAUGUUCAAGGAUGCAUGGGACAGGGGUUUGUAAGGAGAGAAGUGGUGGCAAUCAGGGUUCUUUACAAUAAUUUAAAGGCGGGGAUAAAGAAAUAAAGCUGAUCACCUUCAUUCACUUGUAGCUGUUUUAGAAUUCUCCCCUCUCCCUGCCACUGGAACAUGAACAAACUAGCUGAAGGCCUGCUUCUCAGCAUGCUUUUUAAACAGCAUUUGCUGACGAUUUCUAAGCAAGGACACUUCUUUGCUAUCCCAUCUCAGUAUCAUUCUCUCUUUCUCUGUAUGCUGAUUUUGUAGCUUGGCUCAGUCUCGCUCAACUGGAUUCUACUGCUUUGAUGCAUUCCAAGGAGGAAAUUUUUUUCAGCAGUCUUCCACUGAGUCCAAUUCCCUGCAAUGGGGGUAUAAUUUGGAAAUUUGCCUAUAUAGCAAUAGUUGUAAUAUAACGGUGUGGUGGGGUGCUAGAAUGAUCAUAAUUGCCAUAUCACUCCCCCCCUUUUUUUUUUAACAAAAAAAAGAUAUUUGAAACCAUCGAUGCAGUCUAUCCAAACUAGUCACAACAGUUGCUUGGCAUUAACUGGCUACUAGAAUGAGUGGAAGACUGGGCCCACUUUGGAAAUAGUUAAUAAUGAGAAUCACAAUCAUAAUGAUAAAUUAGCCUGAGAAUAACUCUUUGGAUUUGUGCUAGAAAUGAAGGUUGCCUUUGCUGUUGCAUGUUAAAAUGUAGCGCAGAGGGGGUGAGGGUGGGGUUUCAAGACCCAUCAAUACAAUUAAGUAUUCCAAAGUGCUUAGUUUGCCACUUGCUAAGUUUACUUAAACCCUCUUUAAAGGGUUCAUUAGAAGACUGUGAGAAAUGGUAAAAUUCAUUAACAUUAAGGCAGCCGUUCUGCAUUUGCCUGUAAAUUGGUAUUGAUCUGCAUGGCUCAGGACUGGUGGCAGGGAGGGAAGGAGUGAGGAGGGGGGAUAGAGGAAGAGAGAGAGAGAGAGGAGGUAGCCGUCAGAUGGAGCAGGUGAGUGCUCCAUUACAGCAAUGCUGAACGAGCAUUAUGCACCCAGUGUGACCUCCUGGUUUGCUCGAUGUCUAAAUCCUUCUCAUAAUAGUCUCCUAUUCACUACACUCAUCAUUCUCAGUGGUGCUACUCGGACCUCAUUGUUAGCGGGGCUUUAAAGCUCAGAGAGGCUGUGAGGUAACCAGUGAGAAGAGAAAAAAAAGAGAGACAGAGAAGAGGAGAGAGAGAUUUAGCCUGACGCAAACAGAAGGGAGACACAAGGUUUCCCACAUGGACACUCGCACACACCGAAGAGUAACUCCCUUGACUUUCUACUCUGGCCUACUCACAACAUCAUCCAUCCAUCCUGAGCUGCUUCCAUGCCUUGUGAUCCUGCCUGUUCUCACGUUCAUCUCUGGCACCCUCUAAUAUCAGGAACUCCAAUCAGAAGAUAUUUUAGAAAAGUCAAUUUCUCUCAACCAUUCCCUCUGCACACACACACACACACACCCGGCAAAAAAGAAAGACAGAGAGAGAGAGGCCAAAGAGAAAGCCAAGCCUUUUUCUUUGGGGGGUUUCUACCCUUCAGACUGCACAUCCUUUAUCGUGACCUACAAAACAAGGAAGAAAAAACUAACAAUGGACACCUGAGCAGAGCCUUUUACUUCAUCAAUUCAGCUUGAUGAUGGUGGGUGAACAAACAAGAGAGAUUUAUUGAAAAGAAGAAAAACUACUGAUGACAGAAGUUUGUUACUUCAAAAAACAGCAACAACUGUGGACAAAGGGAACAUUUCUCCACAUCUACACAAUGCAAGACCAAAUUAAGUUCACUGUCAAUAGGUUCUGGAGAAAAACUACUUCUUUACACAGCUGUGUAACGGGGUACAUUGCAACAAGAUGUGGUAAGAAGUCAGGGGUAGGAAGAAGGUGCAUUAGAAUCUACUCAGAGCUCUCAAUGAGCACCAAUUUAUCAUUCUGCAUUGUUUUAUAAUAACCAUAAGGACACACACACAAGGCUGUGAAAUGAAGAAGACUUGUGAAUAGGUGGAUAACUAGGAGUGAUUUUUUAUAUGGAACAGCAGUCACCAGGCUUUGGUUCUGGUACUCAAGGUGAAUUUGUGGUCUCAAAAUUCUUCAGUCUUUUUCAGUAGCCUCCACUUGGUGGAUCUCAAAGUUCAAGCAAAGAAAAACAAAACCAAGGUGUAUCGCACAAGUAUGAAAUCUGUCCACUCCUAGCUUAUUAGGUGGCUUUAAAAAAAGAAUUGGAUAAAUUCACAGAUGACUAUGAUGUGUCAUGGUAGUUAGAUUAUGCCUCCAUGUUCAGUUGCAGUCCUAGAUGUUGUGGAUAGACAAUAAACGGGAAGCUGGUUUAUGAAUUUCCAGAAUAAUCUGGGUGGGUUCUGUUGAACAUACAGCACUGGACUAGACAGAUCUGUGCUCUGACCAUGAGGGAUCUUCUCAUGUUCAUCUAUGAUCUAAUUACCAUAGAUAGAAAACACAGUUUCUAACUAUCAUAGACUAGUUUAUGAUCAUUAUAGCUUAUUCAGUCAGUAGAACAGUCCAUUGAAACUGAGCAUUGGUAACUCUCCUGAAGGAAACAUUCUUCCAAAACCAGCCUCUCCUUUUCUCCUCUUUCUGUUCUUCAAAUGGACCUUGUGCUCACAAGGAGUUGACAUAAAGUAUAAAGCCCUGUUUAGCUGUAAUAAGCAUUGAUGUUAUGUAAAUGGCUUAAAGAAAAUCACUCACUUUCUCAUGUUGUAAUGA